UGGUCCAAAACUUAGAGCUUUGGGCCACAACUAUUUUAUGAGGUCUCCCAGCUUGUGAGUCAGGAAUUCAGCAAGUGACAGCUGGAUGAAUUUCCUGCCUCAUGGCUCUGCUCAGGGCUGCGGUUGGUACUCAGCUGGCCAAUGUGCCCAUCUGAGGGGCCCAGGCCAGCUUCACCCACAUCCAAUAUCUUGGCAGGGAAGCAUGUGCUGCAGAGUUCACAGGAGUCUGCCACUGGACACUCAUGUGGCUUCUCCAGCCUUGUGGUCCUGGGGUGGUCACAGAUUAUGUGGUGCCUCAGGGUGCUCACAGAGGGACAGUUCCCAGAACCUGUGCCUGGAAACAAGCCCUGCUCUGCCAAUGCUGUGUCGCUGGGGCCUAAGCAGUCACAGAGCAACAGGGGGACUUGGUUCUACCUCUGGGUGGGACCACUAUUGAAGAACUUACAGCCGGCAUCAAUCAUUCAUGGGGCCAUUGGGCUACAGGAUGACCUUGACCGAGCUUGACUGACAGGCAUCGAUAGACAGAUAAAAACCCAGAGGCCUAACAUUCACACCAUGAUCACUUUUGGGUAGACAGUCUGCAACGUGCCAGGAGCUAGUUGAGGCACUGGGAAUGUUAAUGGUGGACAUAAUCACUGAGGUCUCUUUGAGUUUGAGGUUGUGUGUGGGCAGGAAUGGCUUUAUCCACUUCUGUAGGUUCUCUGCUGGGCUGAAAUUAAGUUCACAUAAGUCAGACCAAGAGGAGAAAAAGCAUGUUUAAUUGCAUACACUCAACACACAGAAGUCCCACAUCACACAAGACUCAAGGAAGAGCCAGGAGAUGGAAGCUCAUCUAGCAUCCUGAGCUACAGGGAGGAACAGGGGCCUGGGGACUCUGGGGGUGGGAGAGAGAAAACAUGGGGCUUAAAAGUUGUCCCACCUGCAGACAAAACUGCCCACGAGCAGGGCAGGGCUUUCCUGACAGGAGUCGUUUAUUAAUGUAGAUUUCCUGAAAUGUUUUACAAAAGGACAGACUUUCCAAGCUACUGUUAUGCAAUUUUGUAGAAUAAUGAGCCCAAAAUAUGCUAGAGAGUAUAUUUUAUGGUGGCAUAUUGUGGUCUCCUAAGGCCAUGUUGUGGGGUGAUGUGAGACCCCCAGCAAGGUCCUUCUUCCAGGACAUGCCCAGGAAGUGCCAUCAAGGCCGUGUUUAAAGGUGUGUGGUGGCCUAGGCCAGCUGCUGUGAUGGUGUAGAGAGCCAGCCCACAUGUGGGGAGCUCUGGGUUUCAUCUUUGCUCCGUGCUGAGGAUCUGUGUGGUGGUGGGAAGACCCAGAGCUGGUCUCAGGCUUCAAUUCAGUUCUCAGGCAUGUACUGGGUUCAUCCUCUCUGAGGCCUCUCCACUGUCCAUAUUAUGGUCCUGCCGGUCACUCUGUAUGAUUAUGGAGAAGGCUGGAGUUAUGAUCUCUUUCCUUAACUCUGAAGAAUAACAGACUCUGUAGUCGAGCUCCACUGCCUCUUCCCCCACAGACCUGGAGAGAGACCUCAGAGGGAGCUCGGGGUAAAGGCAAUAUUUUUGUGAAAAUUAAAUCUUCCCAGCUAAUUUGAUUUCCCUGAGAACUUGUGCUUUCCAAACUUUCCCUGCUGAUCUCUCUUUUAAAUUACCAUAAAAAUGUUUCCUUCGUCAUUGGAACAUGGCAAGCCGACUGAGUAUAACCAAAUGUUCCAGAGUUCACUGGGCCCUCACCACGUGGAAAUCUGAGAAGUCUUAACAAAGCAAAUGAACGAGAGCCUCAGAGGGAGUAACCCGGGUUCAGUUCAUGAAAGUGGACCCUACAUGACCGACAGAUGAAGGCUGACCUUGAACUUGGUGGUGGGACAACCUUAUUUUUUCAAGGAAUGUAUUCCUUUCUUUCCAUCUCAAAGAUUUGUAGAACUAAAACAUAAUUAAAUUGCACAAAAAUUUGAAGAUAGCCAAUGAAUUCAUGGAAGAUCUAAGUGGCCUGGGGACUAUGAUGAGUUUUGGGAUUUGAGAGGUGGAAAAUCCUGUGUUUCUGA
rnacentral:lncRNA from 1 species